ACACGACUCUCGGCAACGGAUAUCUCGGCUCUCGCAUCGAUGAAGAACGUAGCGAAAUGCGAUACCUGGUGUGAAUUGCGGAAUCCCGCGAACCAUCGAGUCUUUGAACGCAAGUUGCGCCCGAGGCCAUUCGGCUGAGGGCACGCCUGCCUGGGCGUCACG
rnacentral:rRNA from 1 species